UCAUCUGCUGUGGGUGUUCCUGAUCUUUGAGCCAUGAUAAUGUUACUGGUUGGAUGUCAGGAGCAGGCCAUGUGGAUGAUUAAAAGAUGAAUAUCAUAUACAGCAUGGAUAUGUUGGACAAAAAGAUGAUUCACAUCCCAGACAGAAUGGAGCAGCACAUUUAUUAAAAGCCAGAAGCUAGAAGACGAGGAAAGAAGAGGUGGUUAAAGAAAGAUACAGUAACAGCAGUAAUAUCUAACAGGAAGGCUACAGGGGAAAAUACAGAAAUUCCAUAAAGAACAAACACUGUAACUCAAAACCAAAGCUUUGCUAGUCACUAGUGCCCGCUACAUCCUAACAGAUGCAGCUGGAGAGCCUGGGGUGAGAACAUGAGCAGUCUAUAAUCAGAAAAUCCCUUUGGGAUAAAUUGACAAAAAUAUAAACCACUCCACAAAGGAGAAAUUGUAAAUGAAAAUGACAUGAGAAGGAAGAAGAUCACUUCAGAGAGCCUGCAGCUCAGAACAGUGGGAACAUCAAAGGUUCCCCAUGUGUCAUUUCAUCUGAUCUUCAUGUUGUAAGGGGUCUGUAUUACUGUUUCCAUUUUAAAGACCACGAAA
rnacentral:lncRNA from 1 species